rnacentral:rRNA from 1 species
UACGUAGGGGGCAAGCGUUGUCCGGAUUUAUUGGGCGUAAAGAGCGUGUAGGCGGCCAGACAGGUCUGCUGUGAAACUCGAGGCUCAACCUCGAGACGCCGGUGGAAACCGUCUGGCUAGAGUCCGGAAGAGGAGAGUGGAAUUCCUGGUGUAGCGGUGAAAUGCGCAGAUAUCAGGAAGACACCCGUGGCGAAGGCGGCUCUCGUGGGACGGUACUGACGCUGAGACGCGAAAGCGUGGGAGC